AUGCCGGCUGGCGUCAAGUUCGAUCCCACGGAUCAGGAGCUGAUCGAGCACCUUGAGGCCAAAGUGAGUGCUGACAGCGCGAGAUCUCACCCUCUCAUCGAUUUGUUCAUAUCAACCAUCGACAGCGAGCACGGCAUAUGCUACACCCAUCCUGAGAAACUUCCAGAGUGUGGCAUGCACGUGAUGUGGCACAAGACCGGCAAUACCUUGUCGGUGAUAGUCAACGGCCGGCAGACGGGCAGCAAAAAGGUUCUGGUGCUGCACACCAAAAAGAACUUCGACCAGCAGAGGACCAACUGGGUGAUGCACCAGUACCACCUCGGGGACCUGGAGCAAGAGAAGGAGCGGGAGCUGGUCCUCUACAAGAUUUUCUACCAGACGAAUACUAGGGCCAGGACUAAAAAGAUUAUAAUUCUCCAAAAAAAUUUACAACUUCGAAGUACGCAGGGGAUCCAUCCGGUUUCACAGGCUGAUAGUUGGACGCGGCACGUCGGAACUGGGCUGUGGCAUGCCAAGCCCAGCUGCAAAUUGUUAAAAGAGAGGAGGGAUGGAUUUGGGCCUUCCAGAACAGCUAAGUGUCGCGACCUCGAUCGUGAAGCGCCUCCCAUGGACUAA
rnacentral:rRNA from 1 species